rnacentral:rRNA from 1 species
CGGACGGGUGAGUAACACGUGGAUAACCUACCUAUAAGACUGGGAUAACUUCGGGAAACCGGAGCUAAUACCGGAUAAUAUAUUGAACCGCAUGGUUCAAUAGUGAAAGACGGUUUUGCUGUCACUUAUAGAUGGAUCCGCGCCGCAUUAGCUAGUUGGUAAGGUAACGGCUUACCAAGGCAACGAUGCGUAGCCGACCUGAGAGGGUGAUCGGCCACACUGGAACUGAGACACGGUCCAGACUCCUACGGAGGCAGCAGCG